rnacentral:lncRNA from 1 species
AAACAAUCUCGGCAGGAGCCUUCUGAUGACCAAACAGAUUAGCGAGCUCCAGAUUUUCACACCAUUAAUAAUACCACCAUCCAUCCAGAUUAGGCCUCCUGCUUCAAGAACUCCAAAGACAAACUUAACAACUCGGCUCCUUCGUUUACAGGUGAUCUGAGUGUAUUGUAAACACAGCCUCUGUUGUGAGCUGAGAGGGACAGACAGACCGGAGAGCUCUCCGUAGGCAGCAGCAGAAAUGAGCCCUUGGGGAGGAGGAGAAAUGCAAAAGGAAAAUCACAUGCCCGAGACCCGCGAAUGCACCACAUUUCGCCGCCUCUACAGAAGGCUCUACUCGUUAACAUUUUUUCUUCCCAAUGGGAACGACAAGACUGAUGCAAGGAAAGGUUUGUUGAAGCACAAGGUCCAGAGCAAAUCUCAACGGCAGAUUCCAAGAAACUUUAAAAACACCUUGCAGCCCACAGGAGGGGGUGUCCUAAAAACAAAACAUGGCCUUAUGUGAUUAUAAAAGUUUCAAAAGAUAAUUUCGAGCUCAAGACUAUGUUUCCCAAAGUUCGUAUCCUGGACUCCUGACCCUCAACAUGAUGAUACCUGGGAGGUGCUGCGUUUGGAAGGUAAUUGAAUCUUGAAGGUGUAGCUCUCCUGAGUGGGAUUAGUGACUUUAUAAGAGACCCCGGAAAAAAAGGAACCCUUUUACCCUUGUAGGGAACAGGGAAAGGGGACGUUACUAGAACCUCUGCAGUAAGUCCUAGUCUCCUGUGAGCCACGGCAGCACAAGGCGAAUUACAGGAAAGGUAGAAAAAUGAGUCUGAGAAGAAGCUGAGCUUUGGGUCUGAUCAGUGCUGCUCUGGGAGGCAAAGAUGAAAGCCCCCAGUUUACCACACUUUUUAUUCAGUACAUCGGGAGAAACAAAUGUAACAAAUGACUUGCAGAGAGUUCAGUAGUUCACAUCGGGAUAAACAAGGUGUAACAAAAGGCCGGGGGCAGUGGAAAUCCAAGAACAAUGAGGAACUAUGCAG